UGAUCCAGAAACUUUGUAGCAUUAUUUACUAGUCCAGGACUUCACUUUUUCUAGUGUUAGUUGAGUUAUCCUCCAGAGGAUUUGCUUGUUAUGAUUAACAAACAAAUAGGGGGAGAUUGUAAGUCUAAAUAUAAAGACAACCCUAUCUGUUACAUAGGGAUGAUAACUCAACAAUAGAAUAGGACAAGUAAAUAACACUACGGCUGCACCGGAA
rnacentral:lncRNA from 1 species